AAAAAAAAAAAUGACUUGCUUUUUAGCUAAAUUGCAGGAUUGUUAAUUCAACUACUCAUACUAAAAACACAAAUAAGAAAGUAGAUUGCUCAAACUUGGAGUAUGAAGCAACAGUAUUCUUGAUGUGGGAUUAGGUAUAGUAAUGAAGUCUAUAUUACCUUGAGCCUGAUGGCUCGGCUGCAUAAUGAGGCUGAUGGUUGUAGUGGAAAGGAUUGGAACAUCUUGGAGAUAAAAUCGCUGUGAGGUUAGAAAGUGGAG
rnacentral:misc_RNA from 1 species